CCUACGGGUGGCAGCAGUGAGGAAUAUUGGUCAAUGGGCGCGAGCCUGAACCAGCCAAGUAGCGUGAAGGAUGACUGCCCUACGGGUUGUAAACUUCUUUUAUAAAGGAAGAAAGUGAGGCACGUGUGCCUUUUUGUAUGUACUUUAUGAAUAAGGAUCGGCUAAAUCAGUGCCAUCAGCCGCGGUAAUACGGAGGAUUCGAGCGUUAUCCGGAUUUAAUGGGUUUAAAGGGAGCGUAGAUGGGUUGUUAAGUCAGUGGUGAAAGUUUGAGGGUCAACCUUAAAAUUUCAAUUGAUACUGGCAGUCUUGAGUACAGUAGAGGUAGGCGGAAUUCGUGGUGUAGCGGUGAAAUGCUUAGAUAUCACGAAGAACUCCGAUUGCGAAGGCAGCUUACUAAACUGCCACUGACAUUGAUGCUCGAAAGUGUGGGUAUCAAACAGGAUUAGAUACCCCUGUAGUC
rnacentral:rRNA from 1 species